UACGUAGGGUGCGAGCGUUAAUCGGAAUUACUGGGCGUAAAGCGUGCGCAGGCGGUUCGUUAAGUCAGAUGUGAAAGCCCCGGGCUCAACCUGGGAACUGCAUUUGAAACUGGCGGGCUUGAGUAUGGCAGAGGGGGGUGGAAUUCCGCGUGUAGCAGUGAAAUGCGUAGAGAUCGGGAGGAACACCCGUAGCGAAGGCGGUUCUCUGGGCCGGUACUGACGCUGAGGAGCGAAAGCGUGGGGAGCAAACAGG
rnacentral:rRNA from 1 species